GACGAACCGUGCGAACGUUGUUCGGAAUCACUGGGCAUAAAGGGCGCGUAGGCGGCUUAUCAAGUCAGGGGUGAAAUCCGGCAGCUCAACUGUCGAAGUGCCUUUGAUACUGAUGAGCUCGAGGGAGGUAGGGGUCUGUGGAACUUCCGGUGGAGCGGUGAAAUGCGUUGAUAUCGGAAGGAACGCCGGUGGCGAAAGCGACGGACCGGACCUCUUCUGACGCUGAGGCGCGAAAGCUAGGGGAGCAAACGGG
rnacentral:rRNA from 1 species